AUGCCGGCUUACCACUCUUCUCUCAUGGAUCCUGACACCAAACUCAUCGGAAACAUAGCACUUUACCUAUCAGAAGUCAAUUCAAAGGACCUGCCCCCAGAGAGACAAAAGAUACAGAUAUUGUGGAUGAAGCAUCUAUUACUUCAAGGCCCAUGUCUUCUUCAAAAACUAUGAAAUUAAGAAUGAAGCUGAUAGGACCUUGAUAUAUAUAUCUCUCUACAUUUCUGAAUGUCUGAAAAAACUCCAAAAGUGCAAUUCCAAAAGCCAAGGUGAGAAAGAAAUGUAUACACUGGGAAUCACUAGUUUUCCCAUUCCUGGAGACCCUGGUUUUCCACUUAACGCAAUUUAUACCAAACCUGCAAAAAAUAGGAAGAUGAAGUGAUGAGAGCCUAUUUACAACAGCUAAGGCAAGAGACUGGACUGAGACUUUGUGAGGAAGUUUUCGACCCUCAGAAUGAUAAACCCAGCAAGUGGUGGACUUGCUUUGUGAAGAGACAGUUCGUGAACAAGAGUCUUUCAGGAACUGGACAGUGAAGGGAGCCUGGGCAGCCACCGUCCCCAGAACCCUGGGCAGCAUUUUCCAGCAAGAUGUACAUAAUCUUUUGCCUUUAUUCGUAAAGUUUUAUACAGAAGAGAGAAGAGCAUGUCUUUACUUGAAAAAAACUUGAUCAAGAAUUUGGGUGGGAGAAAAGCAGGGGUUAUCAAGGGUGAUUUGAAAUUUUCUGCAGCAUUAAGCUGGCGCUUAAUAAAAAUAAGUAAUAAAAAAAAAAUUCUCCCUUACCUCCCUCGUCCAUUUGGAUGGACUAUAUUGUCUUUUAAGGCAACAUAUAUUAAAAUGUACCUUAUUUCCCACUUUGAGCAGACAAUUCAUUGAUUACUGUUUUUAGAACACAAGGUCUCAACAACAAAUGAAGUUAUUAAACAGGAAUUGAGGGCAGACGCUAGACAACAACAAAAACUGAGUCCUUUUCAAAAUUACUCUGAAGAGACCUUUAGGGACCACAAAUGUUUUUGAGACUGAUCUAAGCGAUGAACUAGCCCCUCCAUCCUUCCCUAUCCAGAAGAAUACACAUAGGAACACUAACACAACCAUCUUCAGACCACUUCAGGAGGUCCACACACCAACUGAAGCCAUCAUGAACUCUCUACACAUCCAUGAAUGCCCCUUAGUUAGGGA